GGUGGUUCUCGGGUAAUGCACCCCAGAAUCAGGCUCCCUCCUCUCUGGUCCGGGUGUGUCACCUGAGAACUGCA
rfam:Myotis brandtii contig305211, whole genome shotgun sequence.